rnacentral:rRNA from 1 species
GGGCCCGCACAAGCGGUGGAGCAUGUGGUUUAAUUCGAUGAUACGCGAGGAACCUUACCAGGGCUUAAAUGUAAGUUGCAUUAGUUAGAGAUAACUAUUUCUUCGGACCACUUACAAGGUGCUGCAUGGUUGUCGUCAGCUCGUGCCGUGAGGUGUCAGGUUAAGUCCUAUAACGAGCGCAACCCCUGUUGUUAGUUGCCAGCGAUUCAAGUCGGGAACUCUAACAAGACUGCCGGUGCAAACCGUGAGGAAGGUGGGGAUGACGUCAAAUCAUCACGGCCCUUACGUCCUGGCUACACACGUGCUACAAUGGUAGGGACAGAGAGCAGCCACUACGCGAGUAGGAG